GAUGAACGCUGGCGGCGUGCCUAAUACAUGCAAGUCGAGCGAACAGACGAGGAGCUUGCUCCUCUGACGUUAGCGGCGGACGGGUGAGUAACACGUGGAUAACCUACCUAUAAGACUGGGAUAACUUCGGGAAACCGGAGCUAAUACCGGAUAAUAUAUUGAACCGCAUGGUUCAAUAGUGAAAGACGGUUUUGCUGUCACUUAUAGAUGGAUCCGCGCCGCAUUAGCUAGUUGGUAAGGUAACGGCUUACCAAGGCAACGAUGCGUGGCCGACCUGAGAGGGUGAUCGGCCACACUGGAACUGAGACACGGUCCAGACUCCUACGGGAGGCAGCAGUAGGGAAUCUUCCGCAAUGGGCGAAAGCCUGACGGAGCAACGCCGCGUGAGUGAUGAAGGUCUUCGGAUCGUAAAACUCUGUUAUUAGGGAAGAACAAAUGUGUAAGUAACUAUGCACGUCUUGACGGUACCUAAUCAGAAAGCCACGGCUAACUACGU
rnacentral:rRNA from 1 species